UACGGAGGGUGCAAGCGUUACUCGGAAUUAUUGGGCGUAAAGCGCAUGUAGGUGGUUCGGUAAGUCUGGCGUGAAAGCCCACGACUCAAUCGUGGAAGUGCACUGGAUACUGCCAAACUAGAGUACAGGAGGGGUGAGCGGAAUUCCUGGUGUAGAGGUGAAAUUCGUAGAUAUCAGGAGGAACAACGGUGGCGAAGGCGGCUCACUGGACUGUAACUGACACUAAAGUGCGAAAGCGUGGGGAGCAAACAGG
rnacentral:rRNA from 1 species